rnacentral:rRNA from 1 species
AUUGAACGCUGGCGGCAUGCCUUACACAUGCAAGUCGAACGGCAGCACGGGAGCAAUCCUGGUGGCGAGUGGCGAACGGGUGAGUAAUAUAUCGGAACGUGCCCAGUCGUGGGGGAUAACGCAGCGAAAGCUGUGCUAAUACCGCAUACGAUCUAAGGAUGAAAGCGGGGGAUCGCAAGACCUCGCGCGAUUGGAGCGGCCGAUAUCAGAUUAGCUAGUUGGUGGGGUAAAGGCCCACCAAGGCGACGAUCUGUAGCAGGUCUGAGAGGACGACCAGCCACCCUGGAACUGAGACACGGUCCAGACUCCUACGGGAGGCAGAAGUGGGGAAUUUUGGACAAUGGGCGCAAGCCUGAUCCAGCAAUGCCGCGUGCAGGAUGAAGGCCUUCGGGUCGUAAACUGCUUUUGUACGGAACGAAACGGCCCUUUCUAAUACAGGGGGCUAAUGACGGUACCGUAAGAAUAAGCACCGGCUAACUACGUGCCAGCCGCCGCAGUAA